CAAUAGCGUAUAUUAAAGUUGUUGCAGUUAAAAAGCUCGUAGUUGGAUUUCUGGUUGAAGCGACCGGUCGGGCGUUGAUUCGUCUGCACUGGAGUCGGUUUUGGCCAUCCUCUAGGAAAGUGCGUCUGGUAUUAAGUUAUUGGGCGUAUGAUCCUGGUCUUUUACUGUGAAAAAAUUAGAGUGUUUAAAGCAGGCCUUCGCCUUGAAUACAUUAGCAUGGAAUAAUAAGAUAGGACUUUGGUCUAUUUUGUUGGUUUGCAGACCGAAGUAAUGAUUAAUAGGGAUAGUUGGGGGUAUUUAUAUUCCGAUGUCAGAGGUGAAAUUCUUAGAUUUUCGGAAGAUAAACUUAUGCGAAAGCAUUUACCAAGGAUGUUUUCAUUA
rnacentral:rRNA from 1 species